rnacentral:rRNA from 1 species
CGGACGGGUGAGUAACGCGUGAGAAUCUGCCCUCAGGAGGGGGAUAACAAUUGGAAACGAUUGCUAAUACCCCAUAUGCCGAGAGGUGAAAUGAAUUUCGCCUGAGGAUGAGCUCGCGGCUGAUUAGCUAGUUGGUGGGGUAAAGGCCUACCAAGGCGACGAUCAGUAGCUGGUCUGAGAGGACGAUCAGACACACUGGAACUGAGACACGGUCCAGACUCCUACGGGAGGCAGCAGUGGGGAAUUUUCCGCAAUGGGCGAAAGCCUGACGGAGCAACGCCGCGUGAGGGAUGAAGGCCUCUGGGCUGUAAACCUCUUUUAUCAAGGAAGAAGAUCUGACGGUACUUGAUGAAUAAGCCACGGCUAAUUCCGUGCCAGCAGCCGCGGUAAUACGUGAGUGGCAAGCGUUAUCCGGAAUUAUUGGGCGUAAAGCGUCCGCAGGCGGCCUUGUAAGUCUGUCGUUAAAGCGUGGAGCUUAACUCCAUUUAAGCGAUGGAAACUGCAAGGCUAGAGUGUGGUAGGGGCAGAGGGAAUUCCCGGUGUAGCGGUGAAAUGCGUAGAUAUCGGGAAGAACACCAGUGGCGAGGGCGCUCUGCUGGGCCAUAACUGACGCUCAUGGACGAAAGCCAGGGGAGCGAAUGGGAUUAGAUACCCCAGUAGUC